rnacentral:misc_RNA from 1 species
GAUGAAGAACGUAGUGAAAUGCGAUAAUUAAUGUGAAUUGCAGAAUUCAGUGAAUCAUCGAAUCUUUGAACGCACAUUGCGCCCGCGAGUAUUCUCGCGGGCAUGCCUGUCCGAGCGUCAUUUCAACCCUCAGGGCCCGCCUGCUUCGGCAGGCGCGGCGCUGGUGUUGGGGAUCGGCCUAACCGCCGUCCCCCAAAUACAGUGGCGGUCUCGCUGCAGCCUCCCCUGCGUAGUAGCAACACUCGCAUGCGGAGCGCGGCGCGGCCACGUCGUAAAACCCCCGACUUUCUGAACGUUGACCUCGGAUCAGGUAGGAAUACCCGCUGAACUUAAGCAUAUCAAUAAGCGGAGGA